GGGGUAUUAGCUCAGCUGGCUAGAGCGCUGCAUUCGCAUUGCAGAGGUCGGCGGUUCGACUCCGCCAUACUCCACCA
rnacentral:tRNA from 3 species